rnacentral:rRNA from 1 species
UAACGCGUGGGAAUCUGCCUAUCAGUGGGGAAUAACGACGGGAAACUGUCGCUAAUACCGCAUACGCCCUUAGGGGGAAAGAUUUAUCGCUGAUAGAUGAGCCCGCGUACGAUUAGCUAGUUGGUGAGGUAAUGGCUCACCAAGGCUACGAUCGUUAGGUGGUCUGAGAGGAUGAUCAGCCACACUGGGACUGAGACACGGCCCAGACUCCUACGGGAGGCAGCAGUGGGGCUUUUUGGACAAUGGGCGAAAGCCUGAUCCAGCAGAUGCCGCGCUAGUGAUGAAGGCCUUAGGGUUGU